rnacentral:rRNA from 1 species
AUUGAACGCUGGCGGCAGGCUUAACACAUGCAAGUCGAGCGAGCGGCGGACGGGUGAGUAAUGUCUGGGAACCUGCCUGAUGGAGGGGGAUAACUACUGGAAACGGUAGCUAAUACCGCAUACCAUCAGAUGUGCCCAGAUUGGAUUAGCUAGUAGGUGGGGUAAUGGCUCACCUAGGCGUCGAUCCCUAGCUGGUCUGAGAGGAUGACCAGCCACACUGGAACUGAGACACGGUCCAGACUCCUACGGGAGGCAGCAGUGGGGAAUAUUGCACAAUGGGCGCAAGCCUGAUGCAGCCAUGCCGCGUGUGUGAAGAAGGCCUUCGGGUUGUAAAGCACUUUCAGCGAGGAAGCGGGAAAAGAAGAAGAAGCACCGGCUAACUCCGUGCCAGCAGCCGCGGUAAUAG